AGGAUUGUGGUUCAGCGGUAGAGCACUCACCUAGCAUGAGCAAGGCACUGAGUUCAAUCCACAGCAAUACAU
rnacentral:tRNA from 1 species